rnacentral:rRNA from 1 species
GUACACUCCUACGGGAGGCAGCAGUGGGGAAUAUUGCACAAUGGGCGCAAGCCUGAUGCAGCCAUGCCGCGUGUAUGAAGAAGGCCUUCGGGUUGUAAAGUACUUUCAGCGGGGAGGAAGGCAAUACGGUUAAUAACCGUGUUGAUUGACGUUACCCGCAGAAGAAGCACCGGCUAACUCCGUGCCAGCAGCCGCGGUAAUACGGAGGGUGCAAGCGUUAAUCGGAAUUACUGGGCGUAAAGCGCACGCAGGCGGUCUGUCAAGUCGGAUGUGAAAUCCCCGGGCUCAACCUGGGAACUGCAUUCGAAACUGGCAGGCUUGAGUCUUGUAGAGGGGGGUAGAAUUCCAGGUGUAGCGGUGAAAUGCGUAGAGAUCUGGAGGAAUACCGGUGGCGAAGGCGGCCCCCUGGACAAAGACUGACGCUCAGGUGCGAAAGCGUGGGGAGCAAACAGGAUUAGAAACCCUUGUAGUCC